rnacentral:rRNA from 1 species
UACGUAGGGUGCGAGCGUUGUCCGGAAUUACGGGGCGUAAAGAGCUCGUAGGUGGUUUGUCGCGUUGUUCGUGAAAACUCACAACUCAAUUGUGGGCGUGCGGGCGAUACGGGCAGACUGGAGUACUGCAGGGGAGACUGGAAUUCCUGGUGUAGCGGUGGAAUGCGCAGAUAUCAGGAGGAACACCGGUGGCGAAGGCGGGUCUCUGGGCCGAUACUGACGCUGAGGAGCGAAAGCGUGGGGAGCGAACAGG